GCCUGAAGACAGAAAUAGUUAAAAAUGGCUACCCUGGAGCUGAAACUCUGAAGUACAACAAAAUUACCAUUCUUGGCCUGAAACGGAGACCUCAAGCUGUGUCUCUGAAUGGAAGAUCCAUCCGUGGAGAUGCUGUGUCUUAUGAGAUCAGUGGGAAGCUGGUUUUGCGGAUUUCUGCUCCACUUACUCAGGAGCUCAACCUUAAGUUAUACUAGAAUGGUCAGAACACACUGACUUAAUUUAGAAUCCUUAGCCCUUUGAUUUAUCCCACUUUGAUUUUAAUGUAAAACAAAUUAAAAAUUAGUCAUUAAAACAUUGCAUGUGAACCUG